rnacentral:rRNA from 1 species
CAUUUGAAACUGGCAGGCUAGAGUCUUGUAGAGGGGGGUAGAAUUUCAGGUGUAGCGGUGAAAUGCGUAGAGAUCUGAAGGAAUACCAGUGGCGAAGGCGGCCCCCUGGACAAAGACUGACGCUCAGAUGCGAAAGCGUGGGUAGCAAACAGGAUUAGAUACCCUGGUAGUCCACGCCGUAAACGCUGUCUACUUGGAGGUUGAGGUUUUAGACUUUGGCUUUCGGCGCUAACGCAUUAAGUAGACCGCCUGGGGAGUACGGCCGCAAGGUUAAAACUCAAAUGAAUUGACGGGGGCCCGCACAAGCGGUGGAGCAUGUGGUUUAAUUCGAUGCAACGCGAAGAACCUUACCUACUCUUGACAUCCAGCGAAGCCUUUAGAGAUAGAGGUGUGCCUUCGGGAGCGCUGAGACAGGUGCUGCAUGGCUGUCGUCAGCUCGUGUUGUGAAAUGUUGGGUUAAGUCCCGCAACGAGCGCAACCCUUAUCCUUGUUUGCCAGCACGUAAUGGUGGGAACUCCAGGGAGACUGCCGGUGAUAAACCGGAGGAAGGUGGGGACGACGUCAAGUCAUCAUGGCCCUUACGAGUAGGGCUACACACGUGCUACAAUGGCAGAUACAGAGGGCAGCGAGACAGCGAUGUUUAGCGAAUCCCUUAAAGUUUGUCGUAGUCCGGAUUGGAGUCUGCAACUCGACUCCAUGAAGUCGGAAUCGCUAGUAAUCGUGGAUCAGAAUGCCACGGUGAAUACGUUCCCGGGCCUUGUACACACCGCCCGU